UACGGGGGGUGCGAGCGUUGUCCGGAAUCACUGGGCGUAAAGGGCGCGUAGGUGGUUUGAUAAGGGUGUGGUGAAAGUCCGGGGCUCAACCCCGGAUCCGCCGUGCCGACUGUCAAACUUCGAGGACUGUAGAGGCAGACGGAAUUCCGGGUGUAGCGGUGGAAUGCGUAGAGAUCCGGAAGAACACCGGUGGCGAAGGCGGCCUGCUGGGCAGUUGCUGCACUGAGGCGCGACAGCGUGGGGAGCAA
rnacentral:rRNA from 1 species